AUGAAAACAAUGAACUCUGCUAGCUCUGAUGACAUUAUUACCAAAUCAUUAUCAAGGUGUGAAAUCAGCUUGUAUCUAGCAAGAAUGGAGAGCCCCGGAAUCGCAUUCUCCUGGCCUCUUACCUUUUCAUCCUUCUUAACAUUACUAGCUGGAGUUGUUGAGAAGUUAAAUACUUAUCUUACCAGGCUCCCUUGCAGCUUUUUCUGGCAAAUGAAAUGAGCCGCACCAUGAACCUACUGAAAGCCCGGUACAAGACCUACAAGGACGAAUGGAAGAACAGAAGGUGCCUCAGUCUAUGGUGACAUCACUGAGCCAGCAGGUCAGCCAUGGGAUGCCUACCCCAGACUUUCUACUAUGUGAGACAAAUAAAGUCCUUACUGCUUAAGCUGCUAUUAGGUUUCUGGUUAUUUAUAGUUGAACAUAUUCCAAAUUGAUCCUACACUCAAUAACCAUUUUUGUACUCAAUGACCCUCCAUGGGAGAUAAAUUUUUAAAAAGGGAAGAGUGUCUUUUCUGAAAUUUAUUAUGGAAGGUCUCUAAUGCUUUUAUUUAUACAAGAACAGCUUUGGAGAUCUCCAGUAGGCAAAUGACUCCAGUGAUCAGUUCUCAGAAAAAAAAAAAAAAAUGCUUUGUUUUGUAAACAUUUUAGUCAUGUAUUAAUUUAAUUUUAUCCCCAGGCACAAAGCUAGUCACUGAGAAUCCAACUCCAAUCUCCAAGAGGCGUAUAGUUUGGUGUGAGAAGCAAACAUACCCCUGAGAUAAAUGCUGUGACGGGAUGCUGUCAGGGUACUGGGGCAGAACAGAAAUGAGGCAGAAAAGAUUCAUAUGCUUUUCAAAGUGUCAAAGGCAGUGAAAUACAGAAAAUUUUAUUUAACAAUCUUAGCAACUUCAUUUCUCCUUUAAAGGAGGCCAAAAAAGGGGAUUAUUUUUUAAAUGGGAUAACAUGGAGAAACAUGUUCUCAUGGCUUCUAAUAAAACUCUUCUAUGAUCAUGAGAAAUGUCCC
rnacentral:lncRNA from 1 species